rnacentral:rRNA from 1 species
AUGAACGCUGGCGGCGUGCCUAAUACAUGCAAGUCGCGCGAACAGACGAGGAGCUUGCUCCUCUGACGUUAGCGGCGGACGGGUGAGUAACACGUGGAUAACCUACCUAUAAGACUGGGAUAACUUCGGGAAACCGGAGCUAAUACCGGAUAAUAUAUUGAACCGCAUGGUUCAAUAGUGAAAGAUGGUUUUGCUGUCACUUAUAGAUGGAUCCGCGCCGCAUUAGCUAGUUGGUAAGGUAACGGCUUACCAAGGCAACGAUGCGUAGCCGACCUGAGAGGGUGAUCGGCCACACUGGAACUGAGACACGGUCCAGACUCCUACGGGAGGCAGCAGUAGGGAAUCUUCCGCAAUGGGCGAAAGCCUGACGGAGCAACGCCGCGUGAGUGAUGAAGGUCUUCGGAUCGUAAAACUCUGUUAUUAGGGAAGAACAAAUGUGUAAGUAACUAUGCACGUCUUGACGGUACCUAAUCAGAAAGCCACGGCUAACUACGUG